UCCUCACGGGGUGCCGGUUAACAGGCGCUCGGUCAGUGUCCUUGACUGACGCAAGCGAAUCCAGGGCACCCCGGGUGCGGAUCCCCGUGGGGUC
rnacentral:tRNA from 1 species